rnacentral:tRNA from 4 species
AGGCCUGUAGCUCUAAUUGGUAGAGCAGCGGACUCCAAAUCCGUUCGUUGGGGGUUCGAGUCCCUCCAGGCCUGCCA